GGAAGUCACUGGUGGUAUUUCUAUCAGCAUGCUUUAGGUCGCUCAAUGUCUCGUUCCAGCUCCCAUUCUUCUAUUAUCCAUGACAGACAAGGGUGACGGGUUGAGGAUGGAAAAAAAGAACCAGAGUUUGAAUACAUUUCAACAUUGAUGCAGAAAAUACUUCUGAGCAUCUAAUGUGGAUUUUGUUUCCAGAAUUAUCCUGGCCUCAUAAAAUCACUUGGAAAGCAUUCUCACUUCUUUUAUUUUCUGAAAAAGUGUAAGAAUGGUAUAAUUUAUUCCUUAAGUAUUUGAUAGAAUUCACAAGAGAAACUAUG
rnacentral:lncRNA from 1 species